UGUGUUUCGACACACUAUCAUUAACUGAAUCCAUAGGUUAAUGAGGCGAACCGGGGGAACUGAAACAUCUAAGUACCCCGAGGAAAAGAAAUCAACCGAGAUUCCCCCAGUAGCGGCGAGCGAACGGGGAGGAGCCCAGAGCCUGAAUCAGUGUGUGUGUUAGUGGAAGCGUCUGGAAAGGCGCGCGAUACAGGGUGACAGCCCCGUACACAAAAAUGCACAUAUUGUGAGCUCGAUGAGUAGGGCGGGACACGUGGUAUCCUGUCUGAAUAUGGGGGGACCAUCCUCCAAGGCUAAAUACUCCUGACUGACCGAUAGUGAACCAGUACCGUGAGGGAAAGGCGAAAAGAACCCCGGCGAGGGGAGUGAAAAAGAACCUGAAACCGUGUACG
rnacentral:rRNA from 1 species